GGGCACUCGAACAGAAGCAAGAAGACAAGGUGAAACCCUUGUUUCACUAAUUCCAUCAAAUUGAGUAGGAAUUUCAAGGAGAAUCGAAUGCAUGAGUCUCAAUUCUUAAUCAGUUAGCCUUGUUUAUUGAAGUGGCGUAAAAGAAGAAAGCUCAAACGCUAGGGAAAUCGAAAAGCUCUCAUGAUCGAGGUAAAUCUUCAACAUAAUGGUUUGACGACUUGGAACGAACACACAUGAAUCACGUCCACCAUGAGCUUCCGUCACUUUUGUAAUUAUGUUAUGGGUCAAAAAUACUUUUGUGGUAUAUAACUUAUGUUUAGUAGCUAGACUUUAAAGCUUAACAUGUUAUGUCUUUUGAACGUGUCGUAGAAUUCCUUGAAAUGAUAAUUGUUAAAAACAGGGAACCGCUCAUGUUACGGACGGGUCA